GAAAAAAGGAGCUGCAAGCAGUGCAAUCAUUGGCUCUGUGUCAAUGUGCAGCAGCUGAGGAUCUGGUCUGAAGAGCAGUUAACAUCCUUCUCCUUUUUGCUGCAUUCAGUCUUGAAAAGGUCUAUUCCUGCUUGAAGUGACUUUGUCAGCAAAGGAAAUCUUACCUGCGGCAGCUGCUCUGCAGGUCCCCUGCUGUGCAAAUCGCCCUUCACAGAGGAAGAUCUUCCUGUCAGUGACUGACGAGAGGUGCCAGGAGCAGGCUAGGAGACUUUUAAAACCCACAACUUGGCAAAUCAGCAGGGGAAGAUGAAAAAUUGUUGUGGGCCAGGAAUGCUGCAGACAGUCCUCCUCUCCUUGACAUACAGAAGAAGGAAAAGGCUCUGAAGGAGGUGCUAAGUGAAAAAGCCAGUCCUAAGUGAAAACACUUUGCACAAGAAGGUAUAGCUUUCAGGUAAAACACCACUUGAAUUAAAUGCAGAAUAAAGAGCAUGAAUAAAGGGCACAGAAUUUGGUGCUCUGUGAUCAUUUGAUCUCAGUGGCUUAAACCUUUGCAUGCUUCAUACUUGCAAACCAGCUGUAAAAUGUGGAAAAUACAAGUAGCCAUGGUCUGACAUUUCCCCAUCUGUUCCCAAUAUUUAAUAAUUUGCUCUCUUCUCUGAGCAUAUUAAGUUUGUUUAUAAAUUUAAAAAAUAUGUUCUAUUUUAUAUAAUGAGCUUAAAGAUAUAAUGGCCUUUCUGCUCUAAAUUGCUCAGAGCAUCCUACUUUGCCACAUGUGCAGGGUAUUAAUUUUUCAGGAGAAAUUGGUGUUUAAGGUGUAGAUGGACAAGAAGCACUUCUUAGCACACCUAGCUUUUGCCUUGCUGUUCUGAGUGUCUCUUUUUUGCAGUUUCUAUACAGUAAGUUUGUUUUCAGAAGGCUACAGUUCUUUUUGUCUAGCUGUAGGGAUGAUGGAGAGUGAGAAGUAAACCUUCUCACAACUGACAUUAAUGUUCUACUAACUGUAAAAAAAAAAAAUCAUCCCUAUGAAAGCUUGCUGAGAAUUGUCGUUGCUGUGUUAGAAUCAGUAAUAAUUUUCUGUUGAGCUGAACAAAGCUAAGCACAGCUAAAUGGCACUCUAGUUAAGAAAGGCUUGUUAAAGGUUUUAGGGGUGGAUUUUUUUUCAUGUGUGAGAUUAGGGUAGGCAAAAACAUACUGGACCUACAUGUCCGUGUACCCAAAAAUCACAGCCUCUUCAGUUUUGCAGAUAGUAACCCCAUUUUAGCAAAGUCUGCUCACAAGCAUUCUGUGAGUGGGAGAUGGUUGUAAGUGCACACUGUGUGUCCCAGAAUGCUACCCCAAGAUGAAAAGGAAACGUUGACCUAAAAAUCCUUCCGGCCCCUGUAACUUUAGUUUGUGUAGCACACUCAAAAAAUUAUUUGUUCUGUAAUGAUUAUUUUGAAGAUUAUUUAGGCAGAUGGUACAGAGAUGUAGGAUCUAAUUUCUGCCAGACUUAAAAUGUGGCCAUUCAGCCACCUUCAGACUGCCUGGGUGAGAAUGAAAACAGCUCCAGAAAGCUCCCACUCUCCCUAUAAACUGUGAACAAUUUCUGAGCAAACCUGUGAAAUUUUUUGUUUUCUUUUGACAAAGAAAAGUCAGUGUUGUUCUUAGAGCUGUCUAAAAUAUUUUGACAUGGAGCUGCAGUAUUCUUUUUACUUAAAAAUUUCAUUUUCAAUUGAAAAUCCCUGCAGUUUGAGAGGAAGUGGGAAGUUUCUGCUCAUAUUUUUUGAAGAAACGAGUAAUGAUUUUCUUGCUGAAAACAAGCAAAGAUGAACAUAACCUUUUUGAUUGACAGAGCAGUUUGAGAAAGCCAUUCCAGAUUUCCCUCCAGCGUUCUACAAUGUCAGAGAUAUGUGCAUCUUAAGUUGUUCUUCUCCUUUAUUUUCUUAUUUUUUACAUUUGUUUACUUUGGGUAUUCCUAUAGCUGCCCUCAUAUUUUUCUUUUUUUCAUUUUAUUUUAUUUUAUUUGCACUUCAUUUGAUAAAUUUCAAUUCUUUGUCAGUACUUUUUAAAUUCUUCUGAAUUCCUCCCUGCUUCCCUCAUCAUUUUAAACCCCUCUAGAUUUGACUCCUUUCCUUUCCUCUUCUCUUUAUCCUCUCUUUCUUUCAUUUCUUCUUUCAUCUCUUUUUUUGCAUAAUCUCCCUUUUGAAGAAUUCUGUUGCAGUUCCUCAUGUGCUUUUCUUUCCCAGUGGAAGGCAGAUAGUCAGGGUAACCAGGAGACUGCUGCUCUCAUGGCGGUUUCCCAGGGAAAAUGCUCACUUGGAACAGAGCACUGAUAGAUAGGAACAGGACCAGCAAAGAGCUGGCUGCAGGUUAUCCUGCACGCAGCACAGAAGUGAUCUUGGCUUGCAGGUAUUGAAGGUUUCAUCCUUUCUUUUUGCAGAAAUGAAGUUUUUGAAGACUGUAAUUCUGAAUACUGUAUGCCGUAGCUAAGAGUAUUACCAAAAUGUGGAAGGGCUGUAAGUCAGGGGACAAGCACACGGUCAGCUGCUGGACAUCAGAAAGCACUCUGCUGUCUGAGUGCAUGAUGGGUAGCAGUGCAUUUCAAUAGCCUUCUCCCUUCAUUCUCUGAAGAACACUAUUCUUAUCAUGCUUCCCUUUCUUAAUUUGCAGAUUCUCUUUCUUCCCCAGUGCAUGUCUGGCAGUCAGUUUUGCUGUGUAGCUGUGAAAAUCAGACAUGCAUUUUCAUCAAACAGUGUCAAGGCUCUCUUGAUAUGCCCUGGAAAGCUUUGACAAAUGAAGCAGAGCUAAAUACCAAAUGAAAACUUGUGUCUUCUGAGGUGGCCAUAAAAGGGAAUCAGCAUUUCCUCCACCAUCUUCCAGUUUGACAAAAAGCCCUCUUUAAAAAA